rnacentral:ncRNA from 2 species
CACCACCGACCACACGAUGGUUCCCCGGAGCACCCGGGGAGGACAACAGGGAACGCGGUGAAACCCCGCGGCUGCCCCCGCAACUGUAAGCGGUGAGCGCCCUCGCAACGUGCCACUGGCCAGACCGGCCGGGAAGGCGCGGGGGUGCCGCGACCCGCGAGCCAGGAGACCUGCCAUCCCAGGUGCAACUUU